rnacentral:rRNA from 1 species
AGGAAUAUUGGUCAAUGGGCGUAAGCCUGAACCAGCCAAGUCGCGUGAGGGAUGAAGGUUCUAUGGAUCGUAAACCUCUUUUAUAAGGGAAUAAAGUGCGGGACGUGUCCCGUUUUGUAUGUACCUUAUGAAUAAGGAUCGGCUAACUCCGUGCCAGCAGCCGCGGUAAUACGGAGGAUCCGAGCGUUAUCCGGAUUUAUUGGGUUUAAAGGGUGCGUAGGCGGCCUUUUAAGUCAGCGGUGAAAGUCUGUGGCUCAACCAUAGAAUUGCCGUUGAAACUGGGGGGCUUGAGUAUGUUUGAGGCAGGCGGAAUGCGUGGUGUAGCGGUGAAAUGCAUAGAUAUCACGCAGAACCCCGAUUGCGAAGGCAGCCUGCCAAGCCAUUACUGACGCUGAUGCACGAAAGCGUGGGGAUCAAACAGGAUUAGAUACCCUGGUAGUCCACGCAGUAAACGAUGAUCACUAGCUGUUUGCGAUACACUGUAAGCGGCACAGCGAAAGCGUUAAGUGAUCCACCUGGGGAGUACGCCGGCAACGGUGAAACUCAAAGGAAUUGACGGGGGCCCGCACAAGCGGAGGAACAUGUGGUUUAAUUCGAUGAUACGCGAGGAACCUUACCCGGGUUUGAACGCAUUUCGACAGCUCUGGAAACAGAGUCUCUAGCGAUAGCGAUUUGCGAGGUGCUGCAUGGUUGUCGUCAGCUCGUGCCGUGAGGUGUCGGCUUAAGUGCCAUAACGAGCGCAACCCUUGCCACUAGUUACUAACAGGUAAAGCUGAGGACUCUGGUGGGACUGCCAGCGUAAGCUGCGAGGAAGGCGGGGAUGACGUCAAAUCAGCACGGCCCUUACAUCCGGGGCGACACACGUGUUACAAUGGCGUGGACAAAGGGAGGCCACCUGGCGACAGGGAGCGAAUCCCCAAACCACGUCUCAGUUCGGAUCGGAGUCUGCAACCCGACUCCGUGAAGCUGGAUUCGCUAGUAAUCGCGCAUCAGCCAUGGCGCGGUGAAUACGUUCCCG